rnacentral:rRNA from 1 species
AUUGAACGCUGGCGGCAGGCCUAACACAUGCAAGUCGAACGAGUGGCGGACGGGUGAGUAAUGUCUGGGAAACUGCCUGAUGGCGGGGGAUAACUACUGGAAACGGUAUCUAAUACCGCAUACCAUCAGAUGUGCUCAUAUGGGAUUAGCUAGUUGGGGGGGUAACGGCUCACCAAGGCGACGAUCCAUAGCUGGUCUGAGAGGAUGACCAGCCACACUGGAACUGAGACACGGUCCAGACUCCUACGGGAGGCAGCAGAGGGGAAUAUUGCACAAUGGGCGCAAGCCUGAUGCAGCCAGGCCGAGUGUAUGAAGAAGGCCUUCGGGUUGUAAAGUACUUUCAGCGGGGAGGCGUUACCCGCAGAAGAAGCACCGGCUAACUCCGUGCCAGCCGCCGCGGUAAUAC